GACGAACGCUGGCGGCGUGCUUAACACAUGCAAGUCUUUCGGAAAGCCCCUGCUUUUGUGGCUUGCUCGAGUGGCGAACGGGUUAGUAACACGUGAGUAACCUCCCCUUUACUUUGGGAUAACUUCAGGAAACUGGGGCUACUACCGGAUAUGAGCUCCUGCUGCAUGGUGGCGGUUGGAAAGAUGCGGCGAUGCGGGAGAGCCUCGCGUCUUAUCAGCUUGUUGGGGGGGUAGUGGCUCACCAAGGCGAUGACAAGCAGCCGGCCUGAGAGGGUGGACGGCAACAAGGGGACUGAGAUACGGCGCUGACUCCUACGGGAGGCAGCAGUGGGGAAUAUUGGACAAUGGGGGCAACCCUGAGCCAGCAAUUCGGUGUGAACGAUGAAGGUUUUCGGAUUGUAAAGUGCUUUCAGAAGGGAAGAAAAAAAUGACGGUACCUGCAGAAGAAGCGACGGCUAAAUACGUG
rnacentral:rRNA from 1 species